rnacentral:lncRNA from 1 species
UUACACUACGUCAGCUACCCGGUCAGCAGCCCUGACCAACCAGGACGCGUCAAGUGACAGAGACGUUGACGCGGGAGGCCACGCGGAGGGGAGCCGCGUGGGUGAUCCGCGUGCGUGCGAUCGAACGGCUGAGAUUUGUUCCCGCACGCACGGACGUACCAGAUUAAAAACGCGUACGGACAACCCAGAUUGCAUCGCACACAGAUAGUUAGAUUGAAUCGCGCACGGAUGACACAGAUUGAAU